rnacentral:ncRNA from 2 species
AAAUUAAAUAGCUUUCAAGGUGCCCUGUGGCGACUAAGGGCUUAAUAUGGAUGCAAGACGGCGAAAUUCCGUCACAGUCCCGCCUGCUGUAAAGUCAGAACUCCAACCUUGCAAAGUUACUACCU